UUGACAAUCUUAUCGUGAAGGCAUACUUUCAGGAGUGAGGGUAGAGCGGGGGUUUCCCCCGCCCUGGUAGUCUUAGUAAGCCGGGAAGCUUAUGACUAAGAGCACCACGAUGAUGAUCCACUUCAUCAUGACCCUUUCCUUAUU
rnacentral:sRNA from 1 species